UGGUGAGAACUUGAACUGACACUAUCCUUUUUUCCCCAUAAAUAGGAUGCCUACAAAAAGACUAAUUUCCCAGUAAUCCAACUUAUUCCAAACACUCCACCCACAAGGCAGCAAGUGAGGGAAAAAAUAGAAUUCUGCUUGAAGAUGCUUUUCAGUCAACUCUCUCUAGCUCAUAAAUCAGCGCUUCUCCAAGAGUGUUAUGAACCCUGCACCCUCCUUGUCAGUGCUGAUUUCUGCACCCAUCUCCCAGUUACCAUCUGGAAUAGAAUCCAAUAGUGAUCCACCAAUGGACAAUUUUUGCUAUGAAGGAGGAAAGAGAGGACAGAUUUGAUUACAACAAAAGCAUCCCAAGAAUGUGUCCUGCAUGAGCUCUUCAGGCUGUGAAAUCUUGAACUUCUACACCCAUCCUUGGCUGGCUUUUUCCAUGUGAGGCCAUAUAGAGGUACUACCACCCUUGCCCUGCUUCAGUCCUCCUCUCGCCUGCCUGAGUUUCAAG
rnacentral:lncRNA from 1 species